rnacentral:lncRNA from 1 species
UUGUUGCCACCUCUCCCCUACCUCUUCUGUCCUGUGAGAGACAUCCAAUGGAUGAAGAAGUGUACUUACUAGUUCAUGGGGAGCAGGAUCUGUAGUUGCUCAGUGUCUCUGUGUCUUUAGAAAGUCAUAUCCAGCACAACAUGUAGAAGUGAUUUAGUUUAAUGAGCAUGACCCUCCCCCAUGGGCUCACAUAUUUCAAUAUUUGGUCCCCGUUGGUAAAACUGUUUGGGAGAAGAGGUGUGUCCUGGGCAUGGGCUUUGAGGUUUCUUUCUUCUUUUUUACAUUGCAAACUAAUUUUUUUUUCAUUAUCUUUUGGCUUUGAGGUUUCAAAAGCCCAUGCCAAGCCCAAUCUUUCACGCUCUGACAGCUGUCUGCAGAUCAGGUUGAGAGCUCUCAACUACUGCUCUCGUACUAUGCUUCCCUGCCUGCCUGCCUGCCUGCCUGCCUGCCACCAUGCUCCCUGCCAUGGUGAUCAUGGACUUACCUCUGAAACUGAGUUGGAUGGAAAUAUGUGAGACUCAGGAUGUGAACAAAUAACAUGUGUUCUGGAAUAUUGAAUCCUGCAAAGGAUCAGGAGAGGCCCUGCCCCUAACACCUACCCCCAUCCCCACCCCAGCUUUACAGACAAAGCCUUAAAAACUGCCUGAGGCCAGGGAGAAGACUGACCCUCAGAGCUGUGGAGAGGAAAGUCCCAGCCUGCAAGCUGUGCAGAGGCUCCAGGGUUGUAGCUUUCACUGCUUUCCACCCAUGCUGGAGUGGGCUUUGCAGUGAUCCAGCUGCUUUUGAAUCAAGUAGACUCCUGAAAAUCACCCCAAUAAAAUGCAUUGGUUUAACAAA